CGACACAUCUUUAUCUUUUUCUACAAUUAAAUUUUUUUCGUUUCUCACCUUAGACAUUCAUUCGGAGCUUUCGGAGUAUUUUUUUUGCAGCUUAAACAGUAAAUCAGGACUUUUGUAGAAUUAUUUUAUUCACGAAAGUAAUUAAUCCUGAAAAGUAAUAAAAUAUCUAUUUUUUUUCUAAACGCUCAAAGCAUUUGUACUCGAUUGGUCAUGUGAGCUGAUAGCCUAGCAAAGGUCAGUUAGCCGAACAGAGCGUACACAUAUUUACCUGCACGUACACGUAUCAGACUCGAUUUGUAAGCCGGGCUGAGUGUCCACGUACGUAAUAUGAUUUGGAGU
rnacentral:lncRNA from 1 species